CCAGGAAUAGAGCCAAAACGCGGAAAGCACGGAGGUCUCAAAAACCUCUGCCCGUAAGGGCGUGCGGGUUCAAGUCCCGCUCCCGGUA
rnacentral:tRNA from 1 species